CGCCUGACUGCGCGCCUCCAGCGCUACGCGGCCGCCACCAGGGGGAGCCGCGACCGCCCAGGAACACGCCCCUCCCAGACUUCCACUCGGCUCGGGACCGAAUCGCGGCCCGAAACUCCGAGCGCAGGGAUACGGCGCCCACGUACGGCGCGCGUAUGGAGAAUAUUGCCGGGCGCACGCGCACGGACAUGUACUUCGUCCCUCGCAGCGCGCACGCGGCUAGAGACAGGUGCGCGCGCGCCUGCGAGGAAGCGGCCUGUUUGCGUCCCUCGAGCUUGCACUGAGUGAUCGCCGACCCUCUUUGCGGCCAAAGGCUUAUGGCACAUGCCCUUGAAGGGAUUGGAGCUUGGCAGAAGAGUUGCAGAAUGCUGGAAUUACCGUACCAACUAAAUGGGACCCACUAAAUGGCCUCUAAGUCUUAGUGAUCUAAUGAAGCCCCUUUAGAAGGGUGAGGGUUGGUGGGGGGGGUAGUUUGGGGUUUUUUGUUUUGUUUUGUUUUUAGUGUAUUCGCAUAGUGUUUAAGACCUAGUCGGGAAAAGAUCAAUGUCGGGCACCUAUGUUUGUUACCUGUAGUUUGACCUUGGCUAAGAGACUUACCUUCUCACAGCAUUCAUUGGUUAGAGAGUUGGAGAACAGGAGUUAGGAUGAGAAUAAGAUGAAAGAAAAUAUCUAGCAAAUCAUCAAAGUACCGUUAAUGUUGGAUCUUGCACUUCAGUUCUUUAGAUGAUGACUUUUUCCAACCUGGCCCCUUCUCCCUGCCAGCCCCAAAGAGGAUCCCUGCUACGACUUUGAGGUUUAAGGUCAUUCAGAUGCAUCAGCUUGUUCCGGCAGAACCUCUUCUCUCCCAAACGGUCUGACCAGCAGAUUGUGGCUGAAGUAGUGCUGUGCAGGUUAUGAAGUUCAGCCCUCAAGAGGCCUUGAAGUUUCCAUCUUCACCAUCCUGCCUCCAGUUUCCCUCUGGAAACAACCUCUAAUCAGAGCACACCUGAAACCUCUUUUUUUUUUUUUUUCCAUGACAAAGCUUCCCACUCCCUUGUCUGCCUUUGAGUUUCGCCAAAGUGGAGAUCAGACAGCUACUAAUGGCUCUAAAACACUUUGCACAUUCUGAAAUGGGAAUUGUCAGAGGAUCUAGUUUAGAGGAGAAAAU